GACGUAGGGGGCCAGCGUUGCUCGGAAUUACUGGGCGUAAAGCGUGCGCAGGCGGUUCGUUAAGUCAGAUGUGAAAGCCCCGGGCUCAACCUGGGAACUGCAUUUGAAACUGGCGGGCUUGAGUGUGGCAGAGGGGGGUGGAAUUCCGCGUGUAGCAGUGAAAUGCGUAGAGAUGCGGAGGAACACCGAUGGCGAAGGCAGCCCCCUGGGCCAACACUGACGCUCAGGCACGAAAGCGUGGGGAGCAAACAGG
rnacentral:rRNA from 1 species